rnacentral:tRNA from 1 species
GCGCCCAUAGCUCAGCCGGAUAGAGCAUCGGACUUCUAAUCCGACGGUCGGGGGUUCGAAUCCCUCUGGGCGCGCC